GGUCAUCGAUUCGUAAUGGCAAUUUAUAAAACCUCUUUGGUUUCUAAUUGUAAUCUAAUAAAAAAGAUGUUGUCUUUUUAAGGUUGCCGGUGGAGCUGGGAUGCUGCACCGAAUCUCUUCUCCUAUUGCACAGUGUCGUGGCAGUGGCAAGGCUAACAUCACAUUUGAGCUUGACGUCUAAGAGUUGUCAUGCACUCUCACAGGAUCC
rnacentral:lncRNA from 1 species